AACGAACGCUGGCGGCAUGCCUAACACAUGCAAGUCGAACGAGACCUUCGGGUCUAGUGGCGCACGGGUGCGUAACGCGUGGGAACCUGCCCUUAGGUUCGGAAUAACUCCCCGAAAGGGGUGCUAAUACCGGAUAAUGUCUUCGGACCAAAGAUUUAUCGCCUUUGGAUGGGCCCGCGUUGGAUUAGCUAGUUGGUAGGGUAAAAGCCUACCAAGGCGACGAUGCAUAGCUGGUCUGAGAGGAUGAUCAGCCACACUGGGACUGAGACACGGCCCAGACUCCUACGGGAGGCAGCAGUGGGGAAUAUUGGACAAUGGGCGAAAGCCUGAUCCAGCAAGGCCGCGUGAGUGAUGAAGGCCUUAGGGUUGUAAAGCUCUUUUACCCGGGAUGAUAAUGACAGUACCGGGAGAAUAAGCUCCGGCUAACUCCGUG
rnacentral:rRNA from 1 species